rnacentral:rRNA from 1 species
GCCGGCGGCCUACACAUGCAAGUCGAGCGGUAGCACAGAGAGCUUGCUCUCGGGUGACGAGCGGCGGACGGGUGAGUAAUGUCUGGGAAACUGCCUGAUGGAGGGGGAUAACUACUGGAAACGGUAGCUAAUACCGCAUAAUGUCGCAAGACCAAAGUGGGGGACCUUCGGGCCUCAUGCCAUCAGAUGUGCCCAGAUGGGAUUAGCUAGUAGGUGGGGUAACGGCUCACCUAGGCGACGAUCCCUAGCUGGUCUGAGAGGAUGACCAGCCACACUGGAACUGAGACACGGUCCAGACUCCUACGGGAGGCAGCAGUGGGGAAUAUUGCACAAUGGGCGCAAGCCUGAUGCAGCCAUGCCGCGUGUGUGAAGAAGGCCUUCGGGUUGUAAAGCACUUUCAGCGGGGAGGAAGGCGUUAAGGUUAAUAACCUUGKCGAUUGACGUUACCCGCAGAAGAAGCACCGGCUAACUCCGUGCCAGCAGCCGCGGUAAUACGGAGGGUGCAAGCGUUAAUCGGAAUUACUGGGCGUAAAGCGCACGCAGGCGGUCUGUCAAGUCGGAUGUGAAAUCCCCGGGCUCAACCUGGGAACUGCAUUCGAAACUGGCAGGCUAGAGUCUUGUAGAGGGGGGUAGAAUUCCAGGUGUAGCGGUGAAAUGCGUAGAGAUCUGGAGGAAUACCGGUGGCGAAGGCGGCCCCCUGGACAAAGACUGACGCUCAGGUGCGAAAGCGUGGGGAGCAAACAGGAUUAGAUACCCUGGUAGUCCACGCCGUAAACGAUGUCGAUUUGGAGGUUGUGCCCUUGAGGCGUGGCUUCCGGAGCUAACGCGUUAAAUCGACCGCCUGGGGAGUACGGCCGCAAGGUUAAAACUCAAAUGAAUUGACGGGGGCCCGCACAAGCGGUGGAGCAUGUGGUUUAAUUCGAUGCAACGCGAAGAACCUUACCUGGUCUUGACAUCCACAGAACUUWSCAGAGAUGGWUUGGUGCCUUCGGGAACUGUGAGACAGGUGCUGCAUGGCUGUCGUCAGCUCGUGUUGUGAAAUGUUGGGUUAAGUCCCGCAACGAGCGCAACCCUUAUCCUUUGUUGCCAGCGGUUAGGCCGGGAACUCAAAGGAGACUGCCAGUGAUAAACUGGAGGAAGGUGGGGAUGACGUCAAGUCAUCAUGGCCCUUACGACCAGGGCUACACACGUGCUACAAUGGCAUAUACAAAGAGAAGCGACCUCGCGAGAGCAAGCGGACCUCAUAAAGUAUGUCGUAGUCCGGAUUGGAGUCUGCAACUCGACUCCAUGAAGUCGGAAUCGCUAGUAAUCGUAGAUCAGAAUGCUACGGUGAAUACGUUCCCGGGCCUUGUACACACCGCCCGUCACACCAUGGGAGUGGGUUGCAAAAGAAGUAGGUAGCUUAACCUUCGGGAGGGCGCUACCACUUGUA